UAGUGUAGGUUGUCGUAUUUAGUGUAGGUAAUGUAAAUAUGCUUAAUGUAAAUGGUUCGUUCUUAGCUAACGCUUGAUGAAUGACUUGGGUGACCUUGUACAUGUUCACACUGUU
rnacentral:lncRNA from 1 species